rnacentral:rRNA from 1 species
CCUACGGGCGGCAGCAGUGAGGAAUAUUGGUCAAUGGACGCAAGUCUGAACCAGCCAUGCCGCGUGCAGGAAGACGGCUCUAUGAGUUGUAAACUGCUUUUGUACGAGGGUAAACGCAGAUACGCGUAUCUGUCUGAAAGUAUCGUACGAAUAAGAAUCGGCUAACUCCGUGCCAGCAGCCGCGGUAAUACGGAGGAUUCAAGCGUUAUCCGGAUUUAUUGGGUUUAAAGGGUGCGUAGGCGGUCGGAUAAGUUAGAGGUGAAAUCCCGAGGCUCAACUUCGGAAUUGCCUCUGAUACUGUUCGGCGAGAGAGUAGUUGCGGUAGGCGGAAUGUAUGGUGUAGCGGUGAAAUGCUUAGAGAUCAUACAGAACACCGAUUGCGAAGGCAGCUUACCAAGCUACUUCUGACGUUGAGGCACGAAAGCGUGGGGAGCAAACAGGAUUAGAUACCCCAGUAGUC